GGAAGAUAUACUACUAUUCCUUAUUUCGACUGGUGGGAUGUAUAUACCUAGAGGAGUUGAAUGGUAUGGUAAAAUCAAAUCGCGUCAUGGUGGUUGAGAAAAUCGGUUAUCAAUGGAUAUACUUCACUUGAUGCCAAACGACUUCCCACAAUAUCAUAGUGAGCAUAGUGAGGACCACCAGGCUUGCCGAGAACUUUGUAGGAAACCAACUGCCUAGGAAUUUCUUUCACAGUUUCAUAUACAGCUUCAGGUGGACAAAUAAGGUCUUGGUCUCCAGCAAGAGCAAGGAUUGGAACAUUGCCUUGGCGUAGAUAAUCCUUGUAUUUGAAUGUACCACUCCUGUCACGUAAGCCACCCUCUUCAAAAACAGACGAUAGCUGCACAAGAACCUUUGCAGGCACAGAUCCAAAGCCAUUCAUCACAAGCUUCUCAAGCAAUGUGGGAUGUAACAUGUCGUCUGCAGAGAUUUGACCCUUUAACCAAGCCAAGACAUAAGGAGGACGUGAUGCGAGAGGAUGAGCAAUAACAAGCAAUGGCCCAAUGGGAAUCACUGGAACAUUAAAAUUUUGUGCAGGAUCUUUCAAAGGUAAAAGAAGUCUGAGUGACGAAUUUGAAGGUCUGUAAUCAAGUGAUGAAGCCAGAGUAACAACUGAUGCCAACUGCGGAUCAACUUUUUUAGAGCUACAGCAAGAGAUCAUAGCAUACAGCAGGAUACCCCCCAUCGAGUGGCCGAUCGCUAGUAACUUGCCAUCAUUUGGUUUGGAUUGG
rnacentral:misc_RNA from 1 species